GCGAGGGUCGGCUGCUAGUACGAAUCAACAUAGGUGAAGUAAGGUUGGAAUAGUAAACAAAACGGAAACAUAGACGAGGAAUUAACGUUGCACGCUUCGCACGUGCUUCACUAGCAUCUGCGCUUAGUGUAAGGACGACAUAAGGUGUUUGCGAUGUUAGCGUGUCGUCGGCUACUUGCUCUUCGUUCUCAAACCAAGCUCUUCUCGGCGUGCGCACCGCACCAACGUCAAAGUUGCAGCACGAGCCAAGUUCUUCAGAAAUCGCAGUCAAAGGAGAGAAUCGUGCUCACUGACGAUGGCUCCACGAUCGUAUGCUGGCAUCCGCAAGAGGAGUUUCCUUACGAACAUACGAAGCCGCUGCCACAUAUCAGGCCCAAACUGGAUGAGGCAAACUCUGCACUGAAGCUGCAGUACCGUUUGGAGGAAGCCGAGACAAUUUACAGGAAUGAUCGAUUGGAGAUAGAAGCUCUGACAAAAAUGACUUACACCUCCAAGCACAGAUGGUACCCAAACAACAAAAAGAAGUAUCUGGAUCCCAAUCCGCCAAUUGAAAGAGAAGGGCUGUGAAUUUUCCAAUCAAGAUGGCCAACCCCGACGCCUCGUGGGUGAGCUUUGCAAUCUGAACAAGCACAAGGGUGCUCCAUUUGUACAAGUAAUACACCCAAACAUAGGUUUAGUUUGCAGAUACUAUAUCAUGUUUAUUAAUAAAGCAACAAUGACAUCACAUUCACAUCUUCA